rnacentral:lncRNA from 1 species
UCACAAAGUCCUCAUGGAUGGAGAACAACUCCGAAAGACUGUUUUGGGAUUUGGCUUGAUCAAAGUGAAGAUUACAUCACAAAUUUAUGUGCUGAUUCUGAUUGAAAUUACAGGGAACAUUUAAUAGGUUGUUACUGUGUUUUGAAUGUGUAACUGGUAGGUUGUUGUUGGUGUUUGUAAGUCUUGAUCAUGUAGAAAUGUAGAUGGUGAUGGUAGAUGUUCAGCUGUUUGACAUAAUUGUGGAGUCAAUGGUUGUAGUGGUAGGUGUAUGUGUUGUAUUGAUGGUUGGGGAAUCUUCAACGGAAAUCAGAUUUUUUUUUUUUUUUUUUUGGCAGUUUUUAAUUGAAUAGGUUCCUUUUGUUUUCAUGUUGGUUACAUUUUAUGUUUGUUGUGGAAAGAUCCUUCGCUGGAAAUUUUUUUGAAGUAAAGAUAUUUACCCAAAAAUGAAGGGAAACCAAAAUAUAAGUGCCCUUUUGCCUAAAUACAUCAGUGUCAUUCUGCCCAAAUUUCUGUGUUUUGUGGAGUCAGUGCCCUUAUGUAAACUUGAACUCUUGUCAUCCCUUAAAUCCCCAAUUUAUAUAUGAUAUUAACCAAAAAUGUCAUAUGACAGAUUGUGACAAUCACAAUCAGUUCCUAUUCAAGAUUUCAAAUUACAAAUGGACAAAGAUACAUGCACAAAGUGAUCCCUUUACCACAUAUAAUAAGUCUAUCUUUCUGCCCAAAUUUCUUCAUAGAUUAAGUUAGCAUCAUUGAACUUCUGCCUAAAUCCACAAAGUCUUGCCUUUUUAAAGUAUAAGUAGCAUCAGUAAUUUUAAAGAUAUGCAACAUUAGCAACCAAAGAUCAGUAGCAUCAAUAUUUUUAAAUUUUUAUCUGUAAAUGUGAAAUUAGUAUCUGUAUCUGAAUUUCAGCAGUAACAAGAAGCAUUACUACUGAAAAAAAAAUUAGUGAAAAAAUUUUUAUACUGGCCAGCAUGUGUUUUAAUUAUUAUUUAGUGAAAAAAAUUUCCAGAAAAACAAGUGGCAAAACAUUGAAAUCUGUCACCACAUACAAGAUUGUCAUUGAGAUGUAAUAACGAGAGCUCUAAAAUCAGAAGAAAACUGACAUAACUGAAGAAAUGGAAACCCACAAAAUAGAUAGCAUAAAGCCACGAGAGUAUACGAAGAAAAUGUUAUAAUCGUUAAAACUUGAGAAAGUAUUGCAAUUAAAAAAAAAAUGAAUAUUCAAUGCAACCGAGUACAACACUUGAUAUUCCAAAAACAAAGUGUUAGACAAAGUGGUCCAAUAAAGUGUUCCUCCAAAAAUAUUUUAGGAUAUUACCUCCUUGUGGUCCCUCAUAUGUUGUCUCCAAGAUUACUUCUUCAAUAAUAAUGUUGUCUGCCAUUUGUGGGGCAUGUAAAGGAAUUUAUGGGUUAAUAUGAAUUUGGGGAUUUUUCCAACGUGAGUUCAAUAUGCAAUGGUUUCUUGAUUUGGAUUUGAUGCAAGGAAGAAUUGACUAAUGUUGUGGAGUAGAAAUUGAUUUGGGGCUCCAGACAAUCGCUCAGUGUUCUGGGAAAAAUGCAAUGGAAAAUUUGGAAGAAAAAACCUACUUAAAUUUAAUUGAUUUUGUUCCACGUUGUCAAAAUAUUUAACACCGUUACGUCCAUGUAUGACUUUCAUCUACCACGUGGGUUUUUUUUGGUCCAUGUGGAUGGAUGGAUUUUAAAUGGGUGAUGGAUGGGUAACUUUAUCCAAAAGUCGGUGAGUGAUCGGUAACUUUAUUUUUGAGUGAGUAAGUAGUAACCGAAGUGAAAUGCUAGUGAUUGUCUAUUUAAUUCACUUGUUAUUAUAACUAAAAGCCAACUUGGUUAUGAUAAGAAGCACCCAGCCCAAUGUAUAAUUGAAAUUUUAAAUAAAAGUAAGUAGUAACAAACUAUGUGAUGUUAUACAACCCGAAGGCUUCUGCCUAUGAUUCCUUACUUGAAUAGAGAAAAUGAGCUUUGUAUCUAUGCUUUAAAUUGGAAAUUCAUGCUUUAAAAAAGAAAACAGGCACUCUCUCAGACAAAGAAAGGUACAAGCAAUCAAUGCACACGGCAAGAACAAUCCUGCAACACCCAAAAGUUUUUGUCCAUGCUUUAAAUUGGAAAUAAUGUUAAAAUUUUGGAAUUAAAAGAUAGAAUUUAAACUAGAAGUAUGUAGUAUGUACAUAUAUACUUUUGAGGAUGAAUUUUCCACAGCCAUUGGGGACAAGAAGCAUCCAGAACUGUCCAGAGUGAAGAUUACAUCACAAAUUUAUGUGCUGAUUCUGAUUGAAAUUACAGGGAACAUUUAAUAGGUUGUUACUGUGUUUUGAAUGUGUAACUGGUAGGUUGUUGUUGGUGUUUGUAAGUCUUGAUCAUGUAGAAAUGUAGAUGGUGAUGGUAGAUGUUCAGCUGUUUGACAUAAUUGUGGAGUCAAUGGUUGUAGUGGUAGGUGUAUGUGUUGUAUUGAUGGUUGGGGAAUCUUCAACGGAAAUCAGAUUUUUUUUUUUUUUUUUUUU